rnacentral:rRNA from 1 species
AGAGUUUGAUUCUGGCUCAGAACGAACGCUGGCGGCGUGGAUAAGACAUGCAAGUCGAACGGAAAAUAUUCGGUAGCAAUACUGAGUAUUUUUAGUGGCGAAAGGGUGCGUAACACGUGGGUAAUCUACCGUAAAGUUCGGAAUAACUUCGAGAAAUCAAAGCUAAUACCGAAUGUGAUCUGACAGGGACAUCCCUGUUCCAUUAAAGCUAGGGACCUUCGGGCCUGGCGCUUUACGAUGAGCCCGCGCCCUAUCAGCUUGUUGGUGAGGUAAAAGCUCACCAAGGCUAAGACGGGUAGCCGGUCUGAGAGGACGAUCGGCCACACUGGAACUGAGACACGGUCCAGACACCUACGGGUGGCAGCAGUCGAGAAUCAUUCACAAUGGGGGAAACCCUGAUGGUGCGACGCCGCGUGGGGGAUGAAGGUCUUCGGAUUGUAAACCCCUGUCAUUUGUGAACAAACCUUUUGGUUUAAUAGAUCAAAAGCUGAUAGUAGCAAAAGAGGAAGGGACGGCUAACUCCGUGCCAGCAGCCGCGGUAAUACGGAGGUCCCAAGCGUUGUUCGGAUUUACUGGGCGUAAAGGGUGCGUAGGUGGCCAGGAAAGUUUGAUGUGAAAGCUCCGAGCUCAACUCGGAAAAUGCAUUGAAUACUACUUGGCUUGAGGAUCGGAGGGGAGACUGGAAUUCUCGGUGUAGCAGUGAAAUGCGUAGAUAUCGAGAGGAACACCAGUGGCGAAGGCGAGUCUCUGGACGAUUCCUGACACUGAGGCACGAAAGCUAGGGGAGCAAACAGGAUUAGAUACCCUGGUAGUCCUAGCCGUAAACGGUGCACACUUGCUGUAGGAGGAUUCGACCCCUUCUGUGGCGGAGCAAACGCGUUAAGUGUGCCGCCUGGGGAGUACGGUCGCAAGAUUAAAACUCAAAGAAAUUGACGGGGGCCUGCACAAGCGGUGGAGUAUGUGGCUUAAUUCGAUGCAACGCGAAGAACCUUACCUGGCCUUGACAUGCAUCUCUAAGCGUGUGAAAGCACGUGACCCUUCGGGGAAUUUGCACAGGUGCUGCAUGGCUGUCGUCAGCUCGUGUCGUGAGAUGUUGGGUUAAGUC